AUACGGAGGAUCCAAGCGUUAUCCGGAUUUAUUGGGUUUAAAGGGAGCGUGGAUGGAUUUUUAAGUCAGUUGUGAAAGUUCGGGGCUCAACCCCCGUAAUUGCAGUUGAUACUGGAUAUCUUGAGUACAGUUGAGGUAGGCGGAAUUCGUGGUGUAGCGGUGAAAUGCUUAGAUAUCACGAAGAACUCCGAUUGCGAAGGCAGCUUACUAAGCUGUAACUGACCUUGAGGCUCGAAAGUGUGGGUAUC
rnacentral:rRNA from 1 species